CCCUUCCCUUCCCUUCCCUUCCCUUCCCUUCCCUUCCCUUCCCUCCCCUUCCCUCCGCUCUUUUCCCGGGGCGGCCGCCCAGCCUCGGGCUCAGGGGGGAUACCGAGCGAGUUUCCUGCGCGCUGCUGCCCUCGUUAUACCCCUAACCUGUCACCCAGGGAGAGGGUCUUGGCAUUGGUAUUCCACAUUUCUUUUUUAAACAGCUUUUUUUUUUUUUUCCUUGACUAAACUUUGCCAUGACGUCGAGCCGUGCUAAAAGCGAGGAUUAAAGUACGCUGUCGUACCAGGUGGUCCGGGAAAGCCGUUCAAACAGGGAACACCUACUUCAGCUGUUCAGUUAGAACCUGUAUGACAGCCUCCGUAUAGGACCUGAGAUAUGACAACUCUUAACUGGAAUGAAAAAGGAAGGAUGAAUCUGCAGUUGAACUCCUUUAAGAGCAGAAGUACAAUGAUACAAUUCACCGAUGAUUUUCCACAAUGGAAGUGAAAGGAUGUGAGAGUUGAAGUGCAAAGGGUGAGACAGGGAGAAUCCAUGGGGGUGUCACUUCAUCAAUACUCAGAAGAAAGAAAAGAAGAAAGGAAAAUAGUGAAUUCACAAAAAGUCUGUGAAGGAGAAGCUCUGAGGGGCAUUAUGGCACUAAACGACAUCAAGCAAGUUAAUUCUAGCCAAAAGGUAUGAAAUGACCAAGAAGGGCUUAAAAACUAAGAACAAAUAGACUUGUUGGUAGAUGGGAUUCAGGAUAAAGUGACAACUCGAGCAGCUGACAUGCUGAAGUCCUGACCCUCCCAUCAGCUCCUGCUGACAGCACUGGAACAGGGAGCACAUUCUGUGCAUUUUAAAAUGUAUAUCCAGUAUGAGAAGUGUAAGACUAUAAUUGGGCAAGUAUGGAAGCAAGAGAUAAAAAGUUCACAUAAAUCUGAAUAUCCAGACGAAAACAGAACUACCCAGCUGCAACAAACAGACCAUUUAAUUUAAGCCCCAUUAUGAAAAAAUAUUAACACACUAAGAAAAACCCAUUAUGGUAACCUGUAGUUCACUCUGACAUCCAGGAAAUUAAGCAACUCCCUUUAUAACUAUACACAGGAUUGUGGUCCUGCAAAAUAAUACUAAUCAUAAGCAGCACACAAUAAAAAAUUAUAUAAGAAAUCA